rnacentral:rRNA from 1 species
UACGGAGGGUGCAAGCGUUGCUCGGAAUUAUUGGGCGUAAAGGGUAGGUAGGUGGUCUCAUUUGUCUGAGGUGAAAGCCCAGGGCUUAACCUUGGAAGUGCCUCAGAAACGGUGAGACUGGAGUACUGGAGAGGGUCGUGGAAUUCCCGGUGUAGCGGUGAAAUGUGUAGAGAUCGGGAGGAACACCAGAGGCGAAGGCGGCGACCUGGACAGUGACUGACACUCAACUACGAAAGCGUGGGGAGCAAACAGG